rnacentral:rRNA from 1 species
AUUUUUCUGUGAUAAUUGAAAAUGAGUCCUGCUCAAUGUAUAAUAAAUAGCCGCGGUAUUUUGACCGUGCAAAGGUAGCAUAGUAAUUAGUCUUGUAAUUUAAGACUGGGAUGAAAGGAUAAACUAGAAAGUUUCUUUCUUGACUGUUAUUUUUUAACUUUACUUUUUAGUAAAAAGGCUAAAAUGUGUCUUUUAGACAAGAAGACCCUAUAAAACUUUACAUAAUUUAAUUUAUUAAAUUGUAAAUAUGUUUUACUGGGGCGGUACGAGGAAGAAACACCUCUAAAUUAUUGAAAAUGUCAUUAUUUUUAUACCCAUAAUUUCUGAAUUUUAAAUGAGUUACUUUAGGGAUAACAGCGUUAUAUGUUUCAAAAGUUCAAAUUGACAAGCAUGUUUGCGACCUCGAUGUUGGAUUAAAUUUCCUUUAUUGCGCAAGAGCACUAAUAGGGGGUCUGUUCGACCUGUAAAAAUUUCCA